UACGUAGGGGGCUAGCGUUGUCCGGAAUCAUUGGGCGUAAAGAGCGUGUAGGCGGUCCGGUAAGUCCGCUGUGAAAGUCGGGGGCUCAACCCUCGAAUGCCGGUGGAUACUGUCGGGCUAGAGUGCGGAAGAGGCGAGUGGAAUUCCGUGGUGUAGCGGUGGAAUGCGCAGAUAUCAGGAGGAACACCGAUGGCGAAGGCAGAUCUCUGGGCCGUAACUGACGCUGAGGAGCGAAAGCGUGGGGGAGCGAACAGG
rnacentral:rRNA from 1 species